rnacentral:lncRNA from 1 species
GCAAUCGCCAAGGAGAGCAGAGCCCUGGAUUUACCUCCCGCGCAGCCGGGCACCCCCAGCGCAGGCACUGCGAGAUUCCAGUGACAGAUGGAUCUCUCUCAUGCACACUUGCUCUUUCCUUCUCUGUAUUUUUGUUUUCGACAUGUUUGAUCCUAAGCUCUGAAGCUUCUCAGAGAGAACCCAGGAAAGAAGGAAGAGAAGGAGUAGAAACCAAGGGAGCGUGAGCGACACGGGAGGCAGCCCUGCCUUGUUCUUCCAAAUCACACUGUGGAGGGGCGGGGGAAGACUAGAGGGGGAGGACUUGGGUUUGUUUUGGGGUGGGUUUGGUGUGGGUGGGGGGUGGGUGGGAGGGGAGAAAAGGGGAAAAAGU